rnacentral:rRNA from 1 species
UACGGAGGGGCUAGCGUUGUUCGGAAUUACUGGGCGUAAAGCGCACGUAGGCGGCUUUGUAAGUUAGAGGUGAAAGCCCGGGCUCAACCCCGGAAUUGCCUUUAAGACUGCAUCGCUAGAAUUGUGGAGAGGUAAGUGGAAUUCCGAGUGUAGAGGUGAAAUUCGUAGAUAUUCGGAAGAACACCAGUGGCGAAGGCGACUUACUGGACACAUAUUGACGCUGAGGUGCGAAAGCGUGGGAGCAAACAGG